rnacentral:rRNA from 1 species
UACGGAGGGUGCAAACGUUGCUCGGAAUCAUUGGGCGUAAAGCGCACGUAGGCGGUCUCGCAAGUCGGGUGUGAAAGCCCUCGGCUUAACCGAGGAAGUGCAUUCGAAACUACGAGACUUGAAUACUGGAGAGGGUUGCGGAAUUCCCGGUGUAGAGGUGAAAUUCGUAGAUAUCGGGAGGAACACCAGUGGCGAAGGCGGCAACCUGGACAGAUAUUGACGCUGAGGUGCGAAAGCGUGGGGAGCAAACAGG